CUUUCCUUUUCAAGGGGCGGGUUGUAGAUCGCGCGCGCACCCUGGAGAGCCCGCUGGUUUGUGUGAGGCCCUGGCCCUGUGGGUAGCAGAACACUCUGUCUCGCUGUGAGCAACAAUACACUAAAAAAAAAAGAAAAGAAAAAAAAAAGUCUGUUUGGACGCACAUGUGGAAAAAUAGCUAGCAGCCAGCCUAGCAUCUGAUGAGCUGGAGCAUCCAAGCAAAAGAAACAUUUUUAAAAAGCAAAACAUCAGACCCACCUCCCAUUCAACUCCCCUAGAGGACUGGGCAACACAGAGACACACAACUAUCAAAUAUAGUGAUUCUUUUUCUUCAUCUAGCGAAAGUGACUGGCAGACCACACAAGUUGGCAAAGGCAAUGACAAAAUUCCUGAUAUAGUAGUUGUCCUUAAAAAAAAAAAAAGACCUUUAAACUUAAUGACAUCCAGCAUUAACCAUCUUUACAGCAGUCAGCAGAGAGAAGGACCUUGACACUGGUUCACUGGAAAGGGUAACCAACCUGAUGCACACCUUUUGUUUCAGCAAUCACUGCCUGUUGUGUGAUUUCUGAUUAUGAUUAGGGUGACCACAUAACUUACCUCCAAAUCAAAAUAUUCUUGAGCAUGAAAGAAGCAACUAUCAAGAAUUACAUUGGAAUAACAUGAAUAAACUGGGCCAUACGGUCCCCACAAUUAUAAAAGAAAGGUCAAAUAUUAAUGAUUUUGCCGUGGAAUUUUACUUGAUGUUUUCACGUCUUCAGAUUCAUUGGCAGUAGUCUUUACCAGAAGAGCUAAAACACUAAAAUUCUGCGAGUCAAGCAAGAGUUUGCAAAACAUCCCACGGAGCCAACACACUAUCUAUACUUGGUACAUAAAUACAGCAUAGCUAAAGAGGAAGGCCACGCUAAGAUCUCUAACCCGGAAGACCAAUUAACUAUCUAAAUGAAUUAGCAUUCUGUUUACACUUCAACUUCUGGAAGCUAAUUACUAUUUAAAUAAAGCCUUCUACCUUAAUUACAGCUGUUAGCACGUGAAAGUUUUAGGGAGGCCUGCCUUCCUAGCUGAAAUGCAAACUUGAGGACAUACAAAGCUAUUAAUGGCAUACAAAGCUAAUAAAGGCAGAAUCUUAAGUAAAUGGCUUUAAAAAUUAAGUAUAUAUAAAAGGAUAAUUUGUAAAUUUGCUAACUUUUCUUCUCUGCUAGCUAAAAUCUGUAGCUAUUACACCAUAUGUUCACGCACAUUACCAAACUGCAGCUAUGCCAUCUUCCAGAUCAGAACUCUUCAUUUGUGUCUUAAUGUUUACUACAAUUCCU
rnacentral:lncRNA from 10 species